rnacentral:rRNA from 1 species
CAGUCGCCACGGUAAUACGAAGGGGGCUAGCGUUGCUCGGAAUGACUGGGCGUAAAGGGCGCGUAGGCGGAUGGUACAGUCAGAUGUGAAAUUCCCGGGCUUAACCUGGGGGCUGCAUUUGAUACGUGUUGUCUAGAGUGAGGAAGAGGGUCGUGGAAUUCCCAGUGUAGAGGUGAAAUUCGUAGAUAUUGGGAAGAACACCGGUGGCGAAGGCGGCAACCUGGUCCAUGACUGACGCUGAGGCGCGAAAGCGUGGGGAGCAAACAGGAUUAGAGACCCGCGUAGUCCCUGUCUCUUAUAC